AUGAAUUCUAUUUCUUAUUCAAUUAGCCAGUGGUGUUUUUGUAAGUAUGUUGUUGCAUGGUGUAAAACAGCAACUACAAAGACAAUGCUACGGAAGAGAAGUAAACACCAUCAUCUUCAAAGACAAUGCUAUGGAAUGCUUCCUUUGCGUCUGGGAGAUUUCAAGAAUUAGGUGGGAAGAAGAUGCAAAGGCGGCGGUGAAUUGAAGAAGUAUGAAGAAGGAGAGAGGGAAAUAAGNUGUGAUCAUCCCUGACCGAUUAAGUGCAUAUAGUCUGUUUGCAUCAGAUUUCACUCAAGUAGAGAACAGGUUUGGGUCUUUCAGUUUA